rnacentral:tRNA from 1 species
GCAUCCGUAGCUCAAUUGGAUAGAGUAGCUGGCUUCGAACCAGUUGGUUGGGGGUUCGAGUCCCUCCGGGUGUGCCA